AUUGAACGCUGGCGGCAGGCCUAACACAUGCAAGUCGAGCGGAUGAAGGGAGCUUGCUCCUGGAUUCAGCGGCGGACGGGUGAGUAAUGCCUAGGAAUCUGCCUGGUAGUGGGGGAUAACGUCCGGAAACGGGCGCUAAUACCGCAUACGUCCUGAGGGAGAAAGUGGGGGAUCUUCGGACCUCACGCUACCAGAUGAGCCUAGGUCGGAUUAGCUAGUUGGUGGGGUAAAGGCCUACCAAGGCGACGAUCCGUAACUGGUCUGAGAGGAUGAUCAGUCACACUGGAACUGAGACACGGUCCAGACUCCUACGGGAGGCAGCAUUGGGGAAUAUUGGACAAUGGGCGAAAGCCUGAUCCAGCCAUGCCGCGUGUGUGAAGAAGGUCUUCGGAUUGUAAAGCACUUUAAGUUGGGAGGAAGGGCAGUAAGUUAAUACCUUGCUGUUUUGACGUUACCAACAGAAUAAGCACCGGCUAACUUCGUG
rnacentral:rRNA from 1 species